ACUAAGUGUCGGACGUAAGUUCGGUGCUGAAGUUAACGCAUUAAGUGCUCCGCCUGGGGAGUACGGUCGCAAGACUGAAACUCAAAGGAAUUGACGGGGACCCGCACAAGCGGUGGAGCAUGUGGUUUAAUUCGACGCAACGCGAAAAACCUUACCAGGCCUUGACAUACCGAUGACGUCUUUAGAGAUAGAGAGUUACCUUCGGGUACAUUGGAUACAGGUGGUGCAUGGUUGUCGUCAGCUCGUGUCGUGAGAUGUUGGGUUAAGUCCCGCAACGAGCGCAACCCUUAUCAUUAGUUGCUAACAGUCAGAUGAGCACUCUAAUGAGACUGCCAACGAAAAGUUGGAGGAAGGUGGGGAUGACGUCAAAUCAUCAUGCCCCUUAUGGCCUGGGCUACACACGUGCUACAAUGGCUGGUACAAAGAGGAGCGAAGCUGUGAAGUGGAGCAAAUCUCAAAAAGCCAGUCUCAGUUCGGAUUGUAGUCUGCAACUCGACUACAUGAAGUUGGAAUCGCUAGUAAUCGUAAAUCAGCAUGUUACGGUGAAUACGUUCUCGAGUCUUGUACACACCGCCCGUCACACCAUGAGAGUUUGUAAUACCCGAAGCCGGUGGCUUAACCGCAAGGAGAGAGCCGUCUAAGGUAGGACAGAUGAUUGGGGUGAAGUCGUAACAAGGUAUCCCUACGGGAACGUGGGGAUG
rnacentral:rRNA from 1 species